CACGUAGGGGGCGAGCGUUGUCCGGAAUUACUGGGCGUAAAGAGCUCGUAGGUGGUUUGUCGCGUUGUUCGUGAAAUCUCACGGCUUAACUGUGAGCGUGCGGGCGAUACGGGCAGACUAGAGUACUGCAGGGGAGACUGGAAUUCCUGGUGUAGCGGUGGAAUGCGCAGAUAUCAGGAGGAACACCGGUGGCGAAGGCGGGUCUCUGGGCCGAUACUGACGCUGAGGAGCGAAAGCGUGGGGAGCGAACAGG
rnacentral:rRNA from 1 species